UGGCUCAGAGGUUAAAGUGUCUGCCUCUAAUGCAGGAGACCCAGGUUCGAUCCCUGG
rnacentral:tRNA from 1 species